rnacentral:rRNA from 1 species
UGCAGUCGAGCGGAACGAUCCCAGCUUGCUGGGAGGCGUCGAGCGGCGGACGGGUGAGUAAUGCAUAGGAAUCUGCCCGAUAGUGGGGGAUAACCUGAGGAAACUCAGGCUAAUACCGCAUACGUCCUACGGGAGAAAGCAGGGGCUCUUCGGACCUUGCGCUAUCGGAUGAGCUUAUGUCGGAUUAGCUGGUUGGUGAGGUAACGGCUCACCAAGGCGACGAUCCGUAGCUGGUCUGAGAGGAUGAUCAGCCACAUCGGGACUGAGACACGGCCCGAACUCCUACGGGAGGCAGCAGUGGGGAAUAUUGGACAAUGGGGGCAACCCUGAUCCAGCCAUGCCGCGUGUGUGAAGAAGGCCCUCGGGUUGUAAAGCACUUUCAGUGAGGAAGAAUGCUUGUCGGUUAAUACCCGGCAAGGGAGACAUCACUCACAGAAGAAGCACCGGCUAACUCCGUGCCAGCAGCCGCGGUAAUACGGAGGGUGCGAGCGUUAAUCGGAAUUACUGGGCGUAAAGCGCGCGUAGGCGGCUUGAUAAGCCGGUUGUGAAAGCCCCGGGCUCAACCUGGGAACGGCAUCCGGAACUGUCAGGCUAGAGUGCAGGAGAGGAAGGUAGAAUUCCCGGUGUAGCGGUGAAAUGCGUAGAGAUCGGGAGGAAUACCAGUGGCGAAGGCGGCCUUCUGGACUGACACUGACGCUGAGGUGCGAAAGCGUGGGUAGCAAACAGGAUUAGAUACCCUGGUAGUCCACGCCGUAAACGAUGUCGACUAGCCGUUGGGGUCCUCGAGACCUUUGUGGCGCAGUUAACGCACUAAGUCGACCGCCUGGGGAGUACGGCCGCAAGGUUAAAACUCAAUGAAUUGACGGGGCCCGCACAAGCGGUGGAGCAUGUGGUUUAAUUCGAUGCAACGCGAGACCUUACCUACCCUUGACAUC